GAUGAACGCUAGCUACAGGCUUAACACAUACAAGUCGAGGGGCAGCACGGAGAUAGCUUGCUAUCUUGGGUGGCGACCGGCGCACGGGUGAGUAACGCGUAUCCAACCUGCCCAUUACUCUGGGAUAGCCUUGCGAAAGUAAGAUUAAUACCGGAUGUUGUUAAAAACCCGCAUGAGUUUUUAACCAAAGAUUUAUUGGUAAUGGAUGGGGAUGCGUGACAUUAGGUAGUUGGUGAGGUAACGGCUCACCAAGCCGACGAUGUCUAGGGGUUCUGAGAGGAAGGUCCCCCACACUGGAACUGAGACACGGUCCAGACUCCUACGGGAGGCAGCAGUGAGGAAUAUUGGUCAAUGGACGAGAGUCUGAACCAGCCAAGUAGCGUGCAGGAUGACGGCCCUCUGGGUUGUAAACUGCUUUUAGUUGGGAAUAAAAAGAGGGACGUGUCCCUAAUUGUAUGUACCAUCAGAAAAAGGACCGGCUAGUUCCGUGCCAGCCGCCGCGGUAACAC
rnacentral:rRNA from 1 species